rnacentral:rRNA from 1 species
UGCGUAGGCGGGUUUUUAAGUCAGGGGUGAAAUCCUGGAGCUCAACUCCAGAACUGCCUUUGAUACUGAGAAUCUUGAGUUCGGGAGAGGUGAGUGGAACUGCGAGUGUAGAGGUGAAAUUCGUAGAUAUUCGCAAGAACACCAGUGGCGAAGGCGGCUCACUGGCCCGAUACUGACGCUGAGGCACGAAAAGCGUGGGGAGCAAACA